GUGGAUUAGAUACCCUGGUAGUCCACGCCCUAAACGAUGUCGACUAGUUGUUGGGGGUUGAAAUCCCUGGUAACGCAGCUAACGCGUGAAGUCGACCGCCUGGGGAGUACGGCCGCAAGGUUAAAACUCAAAGGAAUUGACGGGGGCCCGCACAAGCGGUGGAUGAUGUGGAUUAAUUCGAUGCAACGCGAAGAACCUUACCUAGCCUUGACAUGUCUGGAACCCUGCAGAAACGUAGGGGUGCCCGAAAGGGAAUCAGAACACAGGUGCUGCACGGUCGUCGACAGCU
rnacentral:rRNA from 1 species